ensembl:lncRNA
CAUUAGGCCUUUGUGUGAAACAUUAGCAAAUAAACAAUUCAGUGACAGCAAUUGUGGAUUUUCUCAAACAGUUUAAUAGUACAUAAACAAAUUGACCAAAAAGGAAUCACGCACUUGGUUUACAAAAGUACUGCUUUGUUGGGUGUGCACUUAGCUGUAGUCCUGUGGAGACAUCCAUGUGAAAUCUGAUAACCGUCUCAUCCCAUUCAAAAAUAAAAAAUGUCUCAACAGAAAACAUUAAAAAGCAAAUGGUUUUUGUUGGCCAACUAAUGAAUCCAUCCUUCUCUAUUUGCCACAUCAAAAUCACACAACUUAAAAACAACAGAGACACCAGAUUGUAAUUGAAUUUAACAGAAUUUGAUUAUUUCUUUAAAUUAAGUUUUUCUUUUUGUUUAUCUAUGGUACAGACGUAAAUUUGGUCAUGGUGACAAGAUCUACAUGGCUUCACUAAACUGAAUUUAAAUUUCACAUUUUGAAACAUUGUCCUAGUAGAAAAGGCAAAAACUGUACAAAUUCUACCGUUAAAUACAAUCACUUUGUACCAGUAAUAGUAAUGAUAAAAAAAAAAAAAAAUCCCACAGGUUAUUUAUAGUCAGAAAAAGCAUCAGGAAAACCUGAAAAUAAACUGAAAAGAUCUAAAAAUCCAAUUAUCAGUACAACAAAAGCUUGCCAUCACUGUCACACGUGCAACUCAAGUCUUCCACAUCUAUCCCGAAUGAGAAGGUUUGUUGACUUGUGGGAUGUCCAAAAGAAAAAGGAGAAAUAAAAGAUGUUUGCCAGUUUCAGGACACAACUGUGAUGAAAUGACAAGUAGUAAAAAAAAACAAAAAAACAAACAAAAAGAAAUAAAAGUUGCAAAGAGUGGCUGUGGAAUUGACAAUGAUCGGUGAUGUGAAGCUGCAACGGCUCAUUUUACUGUGGCAACUGCAUCAGUGUCGGACACUGGACCACUGAGUACUAACAGGGAUAUGGGAAUGUGUUAAGACUACUAGGAGGUGGGAGACUUGACUUAGUCGAGUGAUUAGCUGAUUGCUGCAGAUAGCAUGACUUAAAAAAGUGGCAGUUAAACCAGUCAAAAAAGUCAUGACAUGAUUCGAGUCUCAAUUGAAGAAAAACUGAUAUACAUACACCUGAACUGAAAUCUCAUUUCGCUAAUAUAGAAGGCCAUCGAGUGAAUCCUGGGAAAGUAAAUUGUAAACUGGUUGCAGACGUUAUAAGGACGUGUGUUGGUGAAAUGGUGCUAUUAUUAGUAGUGUGUUUUGGUCGAAAGACUCCACAGGCACAUCUUUUAGAGAAAAAAAAAUGAACACACCAUAAUAAGGAUACAAAUACUUCACUUCAAAAAGUCACAGCACAAAACAAAACUAAAAACACACUCCUCUUUAUGGGGGUGGAGGUGGUUUUGGGUGAGCGUUGGACAAGAGUUUAAACACACACUCUCGCACUCACACACACACACACACACACACAGGGUUGAAUUGCCUGCCUGUUUCGAUCGGUCACAUCACAGUAAAACUCACUGCAAUCUCUCACCCAGUGGAACUGCUCAGGUGACGACAUGAGAGGAAAAAUGUGACCAACAGGAACGUGCAAAACGUUUGGCACUAGUUUAUUUGUUUAGAUUUUGAAAAAAAAUUAAUAAAUAAAAAAAAUUAACUAAAAUCACAUUUUGCUGAAGUUUUCAGUGCAGUUACGAGAAGAAAAAAAAACAUGCAUGCUAGAUAUCGCGGAUAUACUUCGCUAACAGUGACAAAGAACUCAACUGUGCUGUGUUCUGUGCUUUAAAUGCAAACUAAUGGUGAGCUUCACACAAGAAGAAAAUAAAGAACAUUAUGUGCCAGUGAUGGCUCGACACAUGGAGGAAAGGAAAAGGCAAGUCAUGUGUGCAGUGUAGAUCCCACUCUUGUUAAUAGGAAACUCCCAAAUUACACCAUGCCAACUAACCUAGCACAAAAUUACAACAUCACCCUCAGAAUCAGCAAAAUGUGACCAAAAAGACAUCCUAAAAAAGGUUUUCUUUCUUUUAGAACAAACAAGUGGAGAGAUAGAGGAAAAAAACACACCCAUACAAAACACACACACCCACAAAGGUGAUUCUAUAAAUUGAUUGGCUGCUUUUAGACACCACAGAAACAAAAAAAAUACAGGGCACUGGAAAGACUGCUUGGAAAUGAGUACUAAAAGAAAAGAAAACGGAAGAAAAAACUAUUAAGGUAAUUCAAAGUGACAAAAUGAAAAUAAAACGCUUUUGCAAAAUUUAGUGGUUAUGUUCGGAAGUUCUAGAAAAAUAGAUAUUUUUUUUUGCUCUUAACAAUACUCAUAUAACUUUAUACAUUUUUAAUAGAGUUAGCAGUCUUUCUAAUGCACCUUGGCAGCACAAACAACAACAUAGAUGAACACACAAAAUCCACAAACAAAAAACUAUUAUAAUUAAUAAGCGUCAAAAGUUAAACAAAAAAGGGGUCAAAGGUGAAAUUUCAAGCGUCAGAGAAGCGCAGAGGACAACGGACUGGACGAUGAACUUUUGACGUCACAUCGACAUGCUAGGCAAGCGAUGAACAAACGGGCACGGAGAGAUCUAGAAUAAAAACAAAAAGAAACACAGGGAGAACAAACUGAGGUUAAAGCCACAACAGAAAAGAGGAGAGAGGGAGAAACACAGAGGAGGAAAAAAAAGAAAAUCAGAAACGAUUAUCUUUGCAGAAUGGGGGGAAGAGGGGAAAGGGGGGGUAAACACGUACACACAUCACCUAAAACACUUAACACUGAAUGCAACAUGGGGGAAAGAGAAAGGGAAUGAGAGGGAUGGGGUGGGGUUGGGAGUCUCAGGGAUUGGGGUGGGGGUGGGGAGACACGAGCGACAUGCCGACGGACAAUUAAGAUGAGAACGUACAGCACACGACACCACUGAGACACAACACAAGACUAGGUGCCCACAGUGAACACCACACAUAGCUGUACACCACACAGAAAAAGGGCUGCACUAAAAACAUACCCGACUCCGGGCACGAGAACAGUUACAGCUAGCAAAACCAAAUCCCCAUUAUAAGAGGGGAAAAAUUAAACUAAUAAUACUAAUUCACUCCUCAACUUCACUGAUUGCUAAAAACAUCAAUCUGUUAGGACUCCGGAUAUCAGCCAAUGGGGCAGCGGCCCUCAGAGUGGCAGCAGCAGUGAGGGGAACACGUUGUGCUUCAAAAGUCUGCUAGUAUCCAUGACGACAAUCGUUUUCAGUUGCCGCUGACGUGUCCUCAGCUUUGGGUGUUUUUUUUGUGCUUGAAUUUUUAAAAAUUGUAUGGGACUUCUCCAUGAGGAUGUGACAAUACACAAACACUUACACACCACAGAGAUUACAAUUGUAGGAAACUGGGGCCGUUUUUUUUUCUUCUCCCCAAUACUAACCUUAUUGGUAAUGUCACUUACAGAAAAACUGUUUCUUCUUAGCAAAGCACGUUGCCUCUGAAUCUCAUGAGUCACAAAACAGACGAGAGUAAGAGGAAAAACAAACACACUCCAGUGAAAUAAAUAAAUAAAUAAAUAAACAAACUCUAAACCUGACGUAAAUCUCAAAUGUUCACAAGUACAUCUCAAGUUACACGACUUUUAAUUAAGACUAUAUAUUUAUAUAUGUAUAAGUCUUUAUGAAUAGCCCCUUUCACGUGGUAAACAGAAGAGCGUUUCUGAGUGAGUUUGGCACGUUCUCCACUGCUUUUGGCUGCAGGGCUUCUUUAAAAUGUCCAGCUCCGCAUAUGCGGCAUGACUGUAAAAAAAAAAAUAAGAUAAAAAUAAAAAGUUUAGAAGCAGGACAAAGCCUUUAACAAGGGUGGUGGACAUUAUUACUAGUCGUCAUUCCAUGCUGAAGACUGAUAUGUCAGUUUCCCCACAAAUUCAAAUCUUUGGGUUGUGCCAACUGAGAGCGUUACCCUGAACUAGCAACACUCGUUUGGUUUUCUUGAUUUCCUGUCGCUCGCGGUGGCUCUUUUUUAAGGUGCUUUCACACAGGCACAGGUGGGCUUGGGGGGGGGGGGGGGGUGGGGGGGGGGGCGUCAGCUGGGGAAAUUAUCCUCCCGAGCACUGACGGCUUGGAAGAGGUAGUGCUGGGGUGGCAGGAUGAGGGGGGUCGGGGGGCAAGGGCACCAAGAGAGCUCAGGUCUGAACUGUUCACUCACUGAACCAAAAUGAAAUGAAUAUACGAACCACUCUGCCAAAUAAAAGGGCUCAAACAAGUCUGAACAUAUCUGUGAAUGUCUUCACAAAACGUCACAUUAGAAUUCUACAAAAUACUGUUGAAAUUUUCAUGACUUUUCAAAACAACCGCUUUCUGAAUGCAGAUAAAUAAUUUAGGCAAUAAAUAAUCCUGGUAAUCAGGAGAAGUAUAAAAACCUCUAUAAAAAUAGAAAAGGCAUAAUAGUUUAGUAAUAUACAUCAUCUGGACAACUGUGUCUAAACAGUUUCUAUAAAAACACUCCUCUCCUGACCACGACAGUCUAAGAGCUCUGGUGAUUACUGCUGUUGAUGAGAACAUUUAAUUGACAGAACUGACCAAUGAGAAGAUACUCCUGACCAAUCAGAAACGCAGUAUGUGUUGGCUGAUGUGAUUACUCUGGUGAUGCCAAGUAGAGGCAUAGCCUACAGCUCAUGCUGUGAAUGACCUAUUACUGAAGCACGUUAUCAAAAUAAAUUAAAAAUUAAAUUAAAAAAUGAACUCAAACUGUGAGGAAAACAAAAAAGGGUUUCAACAGGCUAAACUAAGAGAUCAGCAGGGACCUUUGUUCAUUCUGGAUGUGUCUCAUGACAAAUGCAGACCCUACAACACUCCAUCUCUCUAGAGCAGACUUGUAAGAGUCUUAUCCUGGAUAUCUUUAUUGCUAAGAGCCCGGACUGCCAUAUAGCCAGGAACGCUUCACCUGCUGCUACUGGUGAAGAUGAACACAUAUGGACAGCAAGAGGACAACAGUCCUAACGGAGGCUGUUUUUUAUUGUUGUUGUUGUUGCUGCUGCGGUUUUGAACGGGGUGAGGAAUGUUCGAGCGAGUGUUUUGAAUGUAAAAGUAACAUGUCAGAGUUCAGUCUACACAGCCAACACCAGAGAUCUGCCUGGCAUCUUUCUAGAAUCAUUCAUUUUUUUUGUCCAAAGCAGCAUCAGACAUGGGCAACGGUACAAGGCAGCAAUGAAAGAGACCUCGUUACUGCCAGUGCAUGAGGACAGGGUAGUGUUUUAAAAUAGUCAAGAACAAUAACCAAUAAUAAUAAUAAUUAUUAUUAUUAUUAUUAUUAUUAUUAUUAUUAUUAUUAUUAUUAUUAUUAUAGUAGUAAUAGUUUAUAUACAUUGUCUGUUCUCUCCAUCCCAAUGGGGUCGACAAGUUAACUGGUAUUCUCCGAAAGUUGUAUUGAACAGUAAGUGAUGUGUGUGCGCACACACACACACACACGAGUUGGUGCCUAUGUACAUUUUCAAAUACUCAUUUUCUUUCAAAUUAGCCAUGAUGACAAUUAUGGUCUUAAGACCAGCUAGGUGUACGUUAUGCUGCAUAUUGCAUCUUGACUGUAAUCAAUACUGUCAGUGUUCUUCAAAAAAAAAAAAAAAAAAAAAAAAAACGUUUCACAACAGGUGAAAACCAAAACUGGGAGCGUGGAUUUGUAAAUGACUUCAAGUUUGUUUUUGUUUUUAAAAGAAGAGAAGGAAAAAAAAUUAAAACAAGUAAAUAAAUAAAUAAAUAUACAUAUUUUCUUAAAUGAUUUGAAAGCAAUACGAACAGACCUUGCAAUAAUUAUAACCACAACCCCUCCCCUCCAAAAAGAAAAUAAAGUGAAAGAAAAGGCUUCAGUGAGACAGGGUAGUGAACAGGGGUCAACAUAUGACAUAAUCUUAGCGAGAACGCAGGACUCUCUGGUCUCACGUCAAGAGCAGCUUUGGCUGUCAAACAGAGGUUUGGGGGGGUGGGGCGGUGCUAUUAGGAUUCAGAUGGAUGGGUUUGGGGUAGGUGAUUUGGAGGUGGGGGGUGGGAGGGGAUUUCAGCAGGGAGGACUUGUUUUGCCCACUGGCAUUUCAUUGUGCAACAUCCUUUUCUUCGGACUCCAAACGGUUACACAGCAAACUUGUAAUAUGGCACCAAAGCUUUGAUAGAAAAAAACAAACACAAAAUAAAAUACAGCCAUGUUAUAAAUACAAUACAGAAAACUGAAAGGCGUAAUAAAGAAUGUAAAGAAGCCAUUUCUCAGAUUUUUUUUUUGUGUGUGUCUGAGUGUGCUGUUCUCCGUCUGUUUGUGUUAAAGUGGGAGGGGGGGGG